rnacentral:rRNA from 1 species
AUUAGAUACCCUGGUAGUCCACGCCGUAAACGAUGAUCACCAGGUGUCGGUGGGUAUGGACCCACCGGUGCCGCAGCAAACGCAGUAAGUGAUCCACCUGGGGAGUACGUUCGCAAGAAUGAAACUCAAAGGAAUUGACGGGGACCCGCACAAGCGGUGGAGCAUGUGGUUUAAUCCGAAGCAACGCGAAGAACCUUACCAAGUCUUGACAUCUGGAUGACAGGGACUUAACCGUCCCCUUACUUCGGUACAUCCAAGACAGGUGGUGCAUGGUUGUCGUCAGCUCGUGUCGUGAGAUGUUGGGUUAAGUCCCGCAACGAGCGCAACCCUUAUCUUCAGUAGCCAGCGAGUAAGGUCGGGCACUCUGGAGAGACUGCCGGGGAUAACCCGGAGGAAGGUGGGGAUGACGUCAAAUCAUCAUGCCCCUUAUGAUUUGGGCUACACACGUGCUACAAUGGCGUAAACAGAGGGAAGCGAGCCCGCGAGGGGGAGCAAAUCCCAAAAAUAACGUCCCAGUUCGGAUUGUAGUCUGCAACCCGACUACAUGAAGCUGGAAUCGCUAGUAAUCGCGGAUCAGAAUGCCGCGGUGAAUACGUUCCCGGGUCUUGUACACACCGCCCGUCGCACCAUGGGAGUCGGAAAUGCCCGAAGUCUGUGACCCAACCCCUGGUGAGCAUGACCGUACAGAGAGAUAACAGAGCUUAGGUAAGGAAGGUCUGUUAUACCCGC